UACGGAGGGUGCAAGCGUUGUCCGGAAUCACUGGGCGUAAAGGGCGCGUAGGCGGCCCGGUAAGUAGGGGGUGAAAUCCUGCGGCUUAACCGCAGGGCUGCCUUCUAAACUGUCGGGCUCGAGCACGGUAGAGGCAGAUGGAAUUCCCGGUGUAGCGGUGGAAUGCGUAGAGAUCGGGAGGAACACCAGUAGCGAAGGCGGCUCGCUGGGCCACUCCUGACGCUGAGACGCGAAAGCUAGGGGAGCGAACAGG
rnacentral:rRNA from 1 species